rnacentral:rRNA from 1 species
UUUUUAACGAAAUUAUAUUAAAUCAGGCCUGCUCAAUGUAAAAUAAAUAGCCGCAGAUCUCCUGUGCUAAGGUAGCAUAAUCAUUAGUUUUUUAAUUAAAAACCAGAAUGAAAGGCCCCACAUCCCAUAAUCUUUUUUAAUAUUACAAAAUAAAAAUUUUACUAAAUAUAAAAAUAUAUUUAUAAAAAAAAUAGACGACAAGACCCCGUCGAACUUAAACUUUAGUUAAGCUGGGGAAGCUAGUUAAUUAAAAUUUUAAUAUUAAUUAAAAAGACCCAAUAAAAUUGAAUAAAAGAUCAAGUUACCGCGGGGAUAACAGCGUAAUAAUUUUUUAAAGUUCUUAUUAAAAAAAAAGAUUGCGACCUCGAUGUUGAAUUAAAUUACUUAAAAACGCAAGAGUUUUUUCAGUGGGUCUGUUCGACCCUUAAAUUUUUACA